AUUAGGAUCGUCAUGCUGUACCGCAAUAUUGGCCUCUUGCACUUUAUUAGCAUAACAUUUUGUAGGUGUUCCAUAAUCUAUACCCAAACAAAUUAGCAUUAUUAGUUUAGAAAGCAGACUCGGUGAAUUAGUACAACUAUAUAUGGACUACAUGAUUCAUCUCCGCCUUAAAGCCAGUUUAAAAACAUCUUCCAUCGGUGAUUUGCAUUGAUCACGUUAUACUGAUUUUGUUCUUCCUCACACCUCAAGCAUCUAUGCAAAAUAGUUAUUCUUCACGUUAUACUGAUUUUGUUCUUCUCCCUCGCAAUCAGCUAAUCGUGACCACUUUGGGCAUCUUACAAGAGCCGCCUCGCUCCCUUUGGGCAGAGCUGACCGGGGAUAAUAAUCACAUGGAUGAUGAUAAGAAGGCGCAGGGCAAUCAAGGCAAACAAGGAUGGUAUGCACGGAUGUCUGACGAUAAAAAGGCCGAAUACCUCGAGAAGCGGCGUCAGGCACGUGCUGACAAGAAGGCUGCAACUCUUAUUGCUGCGAAAUGUCAGCAACUAUCUCAAGACCAUCCUUCUAUUCUGUCUCCGGAACGUACACCAUUCAGCAAUAUAACCAACACACACAAAUAUGUGAGUACACCUGCAAGCUCUGGGAGUACUGCUCAUCAACCUGCAGAUAGCAAUGUUCAAUGCAAAAAACAAGGUGGGGGGUGGUAUGCCCGUCUGUCCCAAGAGAAGAAAUCAGAGCACUUGGAGAAGCUCCGUAUGGCCCGACUAGAAAAGAAAGCUAUAGAAAAAAGUGUGAAUGUUGAUGUACCUCAAUCCCCUGCCGCUCAAUUUUCCACUGGUAAUAAACCCCUAUCUGCUAUAUAUUCAUUGCCUUGGCUGUCAGACGAUGUAAUCAUAUAUUUUGUCUCUUUCAUUCCUCAAUUUUGCCAUAUGGAAAGUAAGUACAGCAGCAGCCUCCGGUACUACUGAUCAUCAACCUGUAGAGACAUGCAAAAAACAAAGUGGACAUGGGUGGUAUUCCCGUCUGUCCCAAGAGAAGAAAGCGGAACACCUAGAGAAGCUCCGGAUAGCCCGACUAGAAAAGAAAGCUGCAACAAAAAGUUUGGGUGUUGAUGUAUCUCAAUUCCCUGCUCCUCAAGUUUCCACACGUAAUAUCUCAUAUCUGUGUUAUUCAGUGCCUUCGAGUGUGUCUGCACCAAUCAAAAAUGUAAUCCAUGUGAUCUCUCACUGAUUUUCUUGUCUUCAAGUUGCAGCUUGUACGGUGGGACACAAAAAACAAAGUGGUCAUGGUUGGUUUGCUAGACUAUCUGAAGAUAAAAAAGAAGAAUACCGGAAGAAGCGUAGGAUGUCCCGGCAGGAAAAACAAAAUGCAACUCUCCAUGACGAUGUUUCGCUUGGUAAUAUUACUAAAUACGAUGGUGGUAUGCUAAACACGGAGGAUGAUGAUGAUAAUGAUUGGAUGCACACUAAUCUGAAUUACCAACGAGCUAAUCUGAAUUGCCAGCAAGGUACAGUGCAUGUUCAACAUAUACAUGACAUGCAAGGACAAGAAAGAUUUCUGCCCAGAAGUUUUAUAUCUGGACAGUCCAGUGAAACGAAAGAUGCAUCUUCUGAGAAAAAACGACGUCGUAUGAGGGAACAAUAUGCAAACAUGCCAACGCAUGACAAAGAGGUUGUGUUGUGUCGGAAUCGUGCAUAUAAGAUAGCACGACGGCAUACUGGACCAUUACACAACCAAUCUAACACUACUGAUGUCGCCGAUGGAUCAAAAACGCACUCACCAAGUACACCUUCCAUACCGAGGAC